UACGUAGGUGGCAAGCGUUGUCCGGAAUUACUGGGCGUAAAGCGUGCGCAGGCGGUCUGUUAAGACCGAUGUGAAAAUCCCCAGGCUUAACCUGGGAACUGCGUGUGAUACUGGAUGGCUUGAAUCCGGGAGAGGGAUGCGGAAUUCCAGGUGUAGCGGUGAAAUGCGUAGAUAUCUGGAGGAACACCGGUGGCGAAGGCGGCAUCCUGGACCGGUAUUGACGCUGAUGAGCGAAAGCCAGGGGAGCAAACGGG
rnacentral:rRNA from 1 species